UAUAUAUCUACUUCUAUAUAAAUAUAAUAUAGGUAGAUAUAGAUAUUCUUGAUUCAACAAUCCCACCAAAACUUCAUAUGCAAAGAACCAUAUUUACAAAUAGUAGUAAUUAUUAACCUUUCAACUUAGGAUAAGCUUAUACAUCUUCUAUUGCUAAUGGUGCUGGUGUAGAUCUUCCUGCUCUGAGAGGGAUGAGGUGAGUGGCAUACUAAACUUGAAAGUAAAAUGCAUUCUCCCUUAUCGUUACAGCUGCAAGCAGUUUAGUAAGUUCUGAUCCUUUUGCGGCUCUUUUGCUACAUUCCUAUGGUAAGAAGUUGUUAAAUCAAAUAUAAUUUGAGUUCAAAGUGCACUUCUAUCUCACUAUCAGGCUUGAGUAAUGCAAAUUUAACCCAAUGAUCAUGAGGGAUUCUGGACCAGUUUCGGAUGAGUAGCAGCAUAUAUAGAAGAGGUCAUAUCUGGUUUCAGGUGGGAAAGAAGAUGCUGUAUAGUAUCUGGACGUAGACUUUCUGCUGCUCUCCCGCAUUGAGCCAGGACCUCUGGUCUAGGCUUGCUGUUAGCCUGGACAGGCCCUCCCUGCCCUUCAUAAUGGACAACAUGAUGAAGGAAGUCGAUAAGAUCUGCUAUUUCUGAUGCUUCAACAGGAGUUGAUGGCUGUGAAUUCCUCCCAAAUACAUCAGCCAUUGUGUUUAAAAGCAAUAAGAGGGUCUUAUUGAAAAGAGCAUGAGCAUUAGCAAGUCGUGGGAGCAGUGGACCCAUUAUACGGAAUGCUAUCCUCAACAUUGCAACUGAUGUUAUCGGUCUGAGAUGUUUAAUAAUUAAGUGUGUCUGUUCUAGCCAUUCCUGCGGGAGGUUACUAAAGAAAGCAUGUAGUAGGGCAACUAUAUUACCGAUGGCUGUUGAGGUAUUGUCCUGAGCAGCCCAUGUUGGAUCCAACAAAGCAUAGCCAACAGCAGAGUCUAGUUCCCCAAGUGAUCUUUUACCAUCAGUGAGCCACCAACUCUCUUUUAUUAUACGUGAUGCCUCCAUAUAAAGUUGCAAGUGAAAAUCAGGAGGAAGCUGAGCCAGUAGGAGACCACAAGCUUGGAUCAAUAAGCAAGAUAGUUGCUGGCAUGUAUAACCACUUCGAGAAACAAAAUUAGCAGUAUUGAUUCCUGAAACUGAAGGAGUUGAUCGACUUGCACCUAAGGAAUCUGUACUUCCCCCAGAAGGGGAUGUUGGUAAACCUGAUCCUUGCGCAACACCAUUUGGAGCUCCAUGCAGACCAUUGCUGGAUUGUAUUAGAGUUGGUUGAAUAUUAACUACAAUUUGAACUAGAGAUGAUACAAUUUGGGAAGCAGUCACUGGAAGUGAAAGUAGUUCAAUCACUGCUGUUUCAAGAACUAGUUGAGUAUAAGUUCCAGGAUCUUGAAUUUGAUAGAAUGCUCUUUGGCCCUCAGAAGUAUUUGUUGGCCCAGAUUGAGAUGUUGCUGGAGUCUUGGAAUUUAGAUUGCGCAUUGAAUUACAUAGACCAUCUG
rnacentral:misc_RNA from 1 species